GGACUACUAGGGUUUCUAAUCCCGUUCGCUCCCCACGCUUUCGCGCCUCAGCGUCAGGCUCGACCCAGAAGGCCGCCUUCGCCACUGGUAUUCCUCCGGAUCUCUACGCAUUUCACCGCUACACCCGGAAUUCUACCUUCCUCUAUCGGCCUCAAGAAGCCCAGUUUGCAGCCACCCUCCCCGGUUGAGCCGGGGGCUUUCAGGCCACACUUAAGCUUCCGCCUACGCGCUCUUUACGCCCAGUAAAUCCGGACAACGCUUGCCCCCUACGUAUUACCGCGGCUGCUGGCAC
rnacentral:rRNA from 1 species